GUACUCGCUUAGGCAGCAUAUAUACUAAAAUUGGAACGAUACAGAGAAUAUUAGCAUAACCCCAAAGCAUGCCACUCAAAUUUGUGAAAAGUCUACAUUUUAU
ensembl:snRNA U6 U6 spliceosomal RNA